UACGGAGGGUGCGAGCGUUGUUCGGAUUCACUGGGCGUAAAGGGUGCGUAGGUGGCAGGGUAAGUUUGAUGUGAAAUCUCCGGGCUUAACCCGGAAACUGCAUUGAAUACUAUCCUGCUCGAGGUUUGGAGGGGGGACUGGAAUUCUCGGUGUAGCAGUGAAAUGCGUAGAUAUCGAGAGGAACACCAGUGGCGAAGGCGAGUCCCUGGACAACACCUGACACUGAGGCACGAAAGCUAGGGGAGCAAACAGG
rnacentral:rRNA from 1 species